GAUGAACGCUGGCGGCGUGCCUAAUACAUGCAAGUCGAGCGAAUGGAUUAAGAGCUUGCUCUUAUGAAGUUAGCGGCGGACGGGUGAGUAACACGUGGGUAACCUGCACAUAAGACUGGGAUAACUCCGGGAAACCGGGGCUAAUACCGGAUAACAUUUUGAACCGCAUGGUUCGAAAUUGAAAGGCGGCUUCGGCUGUCACUUAUGGAUGGACCCGCGUCGCAUUAGCUAGUUGGUGAGGUAACGGCUCACCAAGGCAACGAUGCGUAGCCGACCUGAGGGGGUGAUCGGCCACACCAGGACUGAAACACGGCCCAGACUCCUACGGGAGGCAGCAGUAGGGAAUCUUCCGCAAUGGACGAAAGUCUGACGGAGCAACGCCGCGUGAGUGAUGAAGUCUUUCGGGUCGUAAAACUCUGUUGUUAGGGAAGAACAAGUGCUAGUUGAAUAAGCUGGCACCUUAACGGGACCUAACCAGAAAGCCACGGCUAACUACGUGCCAGCCGCCGCAGUAA
rnacentral:rRNA from 1 species